rnacentral:rRNA from 1 species
GAUGAACGCUGGCGGCGUGCCUAAUACAUGCAAGUCGAGCGAACAGACGAGGAGCUUGCUCCUCUGACGUUAGCGGCGGACGUGUGAGUAACACGUGGAUAACCUACCUAUAAGACUGGGAUAACUUCGGGAAACCGGAGCUAAUACCGGAUAAUAUAUUGAACCGCAUGGUUCAAUAGUGAAAGACGGUUUUGCUGUCACUUAUAGAUGGAUCCGCGCCGCAUUAGCUAGUUGGUAAGGUAACGGCUUACCAAGGCAACGAUGCGUAGCCGACCUGAGAGGGUGAUCGGCCACACUGGAACUGAGACACGGUCCAGACUCCUACGGGAGGCAGCAGUAGGGAAUCUUCCGCAAUGGGCGAAAGCCUGACGGAGCAACGCCGCGUGAGUGAUGAAGGUCUUCGGAUCGUAAAACGCUGUUAUUAGGGAAGAACAAAUGUGUAAGUAACUAUGCACGUCUUGACGGUACCUAAUCAGAAAGCCACGGCUAACUACGUG